UACAGAGGUCCCGAGCGUUGUUCGGAUUUAUUGGGCGUAAAGGGUGCGUAGGCGGCGGAGUAAGUUGGGUGUGAAAUCCCGGGGCUUAACCUCGGAAUGGCAUUCAAUACUGCUUCGCUUGAGUACUGGAGAGGAGACUGGAAUUUACGGUGUAGCGGUGAAAUGCGUAGAUAUCGUAAGGAAGACCAGUGGCGAAGGCGGGUCUCUGGACAGUUCCUGACGCUGAGGCACGAAGGCCAGGGGAGCAAACGGG
rnacentral:rRNA from 1 species